ACGAAAAGGUCCUCGGUUCGAGACCGAGCAGAAACAGUUGUUGUUGUUUUUUUCUUUGAUUCUUCAACAAUCAAACAGAUAAACAUACGCUAUGUCCCUGAAAGCACCAUCUCCUGUGGUUUCCGUAGUGUAGUGGUUAUCACGUUCGCCUCACACGCGAAAGGUCCCCGGUUCGAGACCGGGCGGAAACAGUCGUUGAUCUAUUUUUGUCUAUAUUCCGAACUUCAGCAAUCAAACAGAUAAACAUAAGCUAUGUCCCUGAACGUACCAUCUCAUGUGGUUUCCGUAGUGUAGUGGUUAUCACGUUCGCCUAACAUGCGAAAGGUCCCCGGUUCGAGACCGGGCGGAAACAGUCGUUGAU
ensembl:lncRNA